UGCUGAUGGAAUAGGUUUGCUAGAGCUGGC
rnacentral:piRNA from 1 species